UAUGUUUUGAAGAUUUUCAUUUUAAUCUGAUACAGUUCACAUACUGUAAAAUUUAUUAGUGAAGUUUUGAUUUUAAUAUACAAUGUUACAUGGAUUCUCAAACAGAGAAACUCCAACAAUUCUUCAACCUAUCCUGGAAGGCGUUUCAGUUUGGCCACUAGGUGGCGAUCGCGCUAUAAUAUUACACCCUAAUCCAGAAGAAUAAGAAAGUAUGAGCAAAAAACGAUCUUUUAGACCACAAAUUAGUACUUUAAAAAAAUAUUACUUAAAGAAGAGUUUGGAAAUUUAUGCAUGGCGGAUGCAGCUUAUAGAGCUCCGGGAGAUGACGUCACACAGGAUCGUCCCCCUCAAGGCGCCACCAGCUAAAUGGAUCAGCGCCAUUAAAAGAGCCAGGAGCUAGCAAAACAAGACUGAAAGAUGGACCUUCCAGUGGUCAGAUUCGGCUUGUGCGGCGAUUACUUCAUAUCACGACGGGAGGAUCCAAACGUCACUGCGCAAUGCUCACAGUCUGUCCGGAGGAAGUCGUUGAGGAGCUGGAAAAGAGGGAAGCUGUCCCAGCUCUCAGGGGACUGGAUCUCCAGAGCGGCGUCCAUGUCGAUGGCGUAGAGAGCCAGGAAGUUCUCUGCAUGCUCCACCAUGAGGUCAGUCCACCAGGCGAACGCCUACGAACACAACAGGAGGGACAGCAAACAGAUCCUUUUGUUGGGAAACAAAACCAAACGCUUUGUGAAAGAAGAAAAAACCAGCACUUCCUUUAAAAAUGUCAAAACUUAACUUUGAUUUUUCAACAAUAUGUGUCGUUGAACUUCAAUAACACUUUUAAACACUUCUUUUAAGAAAGCAGUUCGGUAAAAUUAGAUUUCACAAGACCAUAAGGC